GUCCUCAUAGCUCAACGGAUAGAGUGCUUCCCUGCGAAGGAAGCGAUUGUGGUUCGAUUCCACAUGAGGACA
rnacentral:tRNA from 1 species